UACGAAGGGUGCAAGCGUUACUCGGAAUUACUGGGCGUAAAGCGUGCGUAGGUGGUGAGUUAAGUCUGUCGUGAAAGCCCCGGGCUCAACCUGGGAAUGGCGGUGGAUACUGGCUCGCUAGAGUGCGGUAGAGGAGAGUGGAAUUCCCGGUGUAGCAGUGAAAUGCGUAGAGAUCGGGAGGAACAUCAGUUGCGAAGGCGGCUCUCUGGACCAGCACUGACACAGAGGCACGAAAGCGUGGGGAGCAAACAGG
rnacentral:rRNA from 1 species